rnacentral:rRNA from 1 species
AGUGAACGCUGGCGGUAGGCCUAACACAUGCAAGUCGAACGGCAGCACAGUAAGAGCUUGCUCUUACGGGUGGCGAGUGGCGGACGGGUGAGGAAUACAUCGGAAUCUACUUUUUCGGGGGGGAUAACGUAGGGAAACUUACGCUAAUACCGCAUACGACCUACCGGGAAAAGCAGGGGAUCUUUGGACCUUUCCCGAUUGUAAUAGCCAUUGUCGGAUUAGCUAGUUUGCGGGGUAAAGGCCCACCAAGGCGACGAUCCGUAACUGGUCUGAGAGGAUGAUCCGCCACGCUGGAACUGAGAGAAGGUCCAGACUCCGACGGGAGGCAGCAGUGGGGAAUAUUGGACAAUGGGAGAAAGCCUGAUACAGCCAUACCGCGUGAGUGAAGAAGGCCUUCGGGUUUUAAAGCCCUUUUGUUGGGAAAGAAAAGCAGCAGGUUAAUACCGCGCUGUUUUGACGGUACCCAAAGAAUAAGCACCGGCUAACUUCGUG